AACGAACGCUGGCGGCGUGCUUAACACAUGCAAGUCGAACGCGAAAGGGACUUCGGUCCUGAGUAAAGUGGCGCACGGGUGAGUAACGCGUAGAUAACCUGUCUUCGAGUCUGGAAUAAUACACCGAAAGGGGUACUAAUACCGGAUAUUCUUGCGUUUCAUAAGGGGCGUAAGCAAAGGUGGCCUCUGCAUAUGCUACUGCUUGAAGAGGGGUCUGCGUACCAUUAGCUAGUAGGUAGGGUAAUGGCCUACCUAGGCUACGAUGGUUAGCGGGUCUGAGAGGAUGAUCCGCCACACUGGCACUGGAACACGGGCCAGACUCCUACGGGAGGCAGCAGUGAGGAAUAUUGCGCAAUGGGGGCGACCCUGACGCAGCGACGCCGCGUGAGUGAGGAAGGCCUUCGGGUCGUAAAGCUCUGUCAAAGGGAAAGAAAUGUAUAAUGGCUAAUACCUGUUAUAUUUGACGGUACCCUUAAAGGAAGCACCGGCUAACUCCGUGCCAGCCGCCGCCGUAAAAC
rnacentral:rRNA from 1 species